GCCUUUAGGGCCUUAUCCAAUGCCCACUGAAGUCAAUGGGAGAUCUUCCAUUGACUUCAAAGGCUAUUGGAUCAGGCCUUUGUAGA
rnacentral:pre_miRNA from 1 species